GGUGGUAGUAGCAAAUAUUCAAAUGAGAACUUUGAAGACUGAAGUGGAGAAAGGUUCCAUGUGAACAGCAGUUGGACAUGGGUGAGCCGACCCUAAGAGACAGGAGAACUCCGCCGAACGCGGCCGCUUCCGUCGGCCCGUCCGUCGAAAGGGAAUCGGGUUAACAUUCCCGAGCCAGUGCGUGGAUGGUGGGCGGCGACGCGAACGAUCCCGGAGACGCCUGCGGGAGCCCUGGGAAGAGUUCUCUUUUCUUCUUGACUGUCUUGUCCGCCCUGGAAUCGGUUUAGCCGGCGAGAGGGCCACGCGGCAGGCAAAGCACCUUACGUCUUGAGGUGUCCGGCGCGCUCCCGACGGCCCGUGAAAAUCCGGGGGAGCGUUUCGUUUUCACGCCUGGUCGUACUCAUAACCGCAUCAGGUCUCCAAGGUGAGCAGCCUCUAGUCGAUAGAGCAAUGUAGGUAAAGGAAGUCGGCAAAAUGGUUCCGCAACCUCGGGAGAAGGAAUGGCUCUGAAGGCUGGGCGCAGGGGUCGUCGGUCCGAGGCUCGCUGGCUGCGCGCGGACUACCGGCCUCACGGCUGGCGGACCGCGCGCGGCCGUCGUGCGGACGGCCGAGGAGCGGGUGUUUGAACGGCGCGUUUCUGCGCGGCCGCGUUCGCCUUCCCUGCGCGCUGAACAGCCGCUUCAGAACUGGCGCGGACAAGGGGAAUCCGACUGUUUAAUUAAAACAGAGCAUUGUGAUGGCCCCGGGGGUGUUGACACAAUGUGAUUUCUGCCCAGUGCUCUGAAUGUCAAAGUGAUGAAAUUCAAACAAGCGCGGGUAAACGGCGGGAGUAACUAUGAC
rnacentral:rRNA from 1 species